GCCUGGCAUGGUGUGAUCUCUGCUACUGGUGGAGGCUGAGACUGGUGAAUGGCUUAAGCUCAGAAGUGCUGAGUGGCCAUAGAGGGUUCAUACUAAAUCUGGUACUAAAUCUGUAUCAUAGUGACAUCCUGAAAGUAGGGAGCCACCAGGCUGCCUGAGGAGGGGUGGGUUGGCCCAGGUUGGAAAUAGAGUAGGUCAGUGCUUCCAGGCUGAAUAGUACUCGGAUCUCUGACCCAUGAGUGGCCACUGUGUUUCAGCCUGGGCAAGAUAGGGAAACUCAGUCCUCU
rnacentral:SRP_RNA from 1 species